AUGAACGCUAGCGACAGGCCUAACACAUGCAAGUCAAGGGGGCAGCACAAGGAGCAAUCUGAGGUGGCGACCGGGCGCACGGGUGAGUAACACGUAUGCAACCUGCCUGUAAGCGGGGAAUAACCCGUUGAAAGACGGACUAAUACCGCAUAAUACUAAAUUACUGCAUUGGUAAUUUAUUUAAACAUUUAUGGCUUACAGAUGGGCAUGCGCAUGAUUAGCUAGUUGGAGAGGUAACGGCUCCCCAAGGCAACGAUCAUUAGGGGUUCUGAGAGGAAGGUCCCCCACACUGGUACUGAGACACGGACCAGACUCCUACGGGAGGCAGCAGUGAGGAAUAUUGGUCAAUGGACGAGAGUCUGAACCAGCCAAGUCGCGUGCAGGAAGAAUGUCCUAAUGGAUUGUAAACUGCUUUUGCAGGGGAAUAAAGUGCAUCACGUGUGAUGUUUUGUUAUGUACUCUGCGAAUAAGGAUCGGCUAACUCCGUGCCAGCAGCCGC
rnacentral:rRNA from 1 species